UACGUAGGGACCAAGCGUUGUUCGGAUUUACUGGGCGUAAAGGGCGCGUAGGCGGCGUGGUAAGUCACUUGUGAAAUCUCUGAGCUUAACUCAGAACGGUCAAGUGAUACUGCUGUGCUAGAGUGCGGAAGGGGCAAUCGGAAUUCUUGGUGUAGCGGUGAAAUGCGUAGAUAUCAAGAGGAACACCUGAGGUGAAGACGGGUUGCUGGGCCGACACUGACGCUGAUGCGCGAAAGCGUGGGGAGCGAACAGG
rnacentral:rRNA from 1 species